rnacentral:lncRNA from 1 species
GGGAGGAAAAACAGGAAACUUGAUUUAGGCACCAUUUUGAUCAGAGACUGAAGUCAAAUGAUAAUGAAUGUGGGCAGGAAGGAUCCUGAAAUAUCUACUUAGCUGCAUUUCCAAUGCUAGGUCAUACAUGGCAAUACAACUUCUGCCUUGUUUGCUGGAACACUUGCAAUGGAGCACUGUUUUGGCAGAUACCUUGCAAGCAACUUAAUGAAUGAAUGGAUGAAUGAACAUCUCCAUUUUGAGACUCAUUUGUUCUAGAUUCAGAUCAUUCAACAAAACAUGGCAUGAUUUCCACAGUCUCUGACAUUCUGAUUGCAUUGCUUGAGAAAAUUCUCAGUCUGGGAAUCUCCUUAAAAUGCAGCACAGAUGAUGGCUGAAUAGGAACAGCUCCGGUCUGCAGCUCCCAGCGAGAUCAACGCAGAAGGCGGGUGAUUUCUGCAUUUCCAACUGAGGGUGUAACACUGUGACCAACGAAGAGAGUGUUUUCUAUCAGUGACUCGCAGACUUCCCUUUCACUGGAAUCCAGCUUAUUAGCUGCAUGGUUAACUUUGGAGCCAGGAAAACAUCCUGCACAUGACACUGCCAUCAAGCAGAGGAGACAUGUUUCUCGGCUUCCCCUCUCUGGGACUUAAUAGCCUCUGAAGGCUAGCCUUUACUGACUCAUGAAGCUGUGUCUGCCUGGGGUCAGUGGUGGAGACAUUGCGUUAACCCCAGCAAGCGAGCCAUCACCAGAGCUUUGCACAGGGAGACACCACAUAGAAAGGCAGAUGAGGCAACACACACACCAUCCCCAGACAGCCAUGGGUCCCCAGAGACAGGAAAAAUAUGUGUUUUCUUAAAGAAUUAGAAAAGAAAACCUUGCUUUUUCCUGUGUGGCUCAUUGGUAGGAGAUCUCAAAUUCUAACCCUUGUUUUCUCUUUUACCUCUCUGUCUGCUAAAAAGCACUCCUUAGAUCCAGUAUCUAGCAUGGUGAGCCUCCUGGAUGCAGUGCUGCAGUGGCCACUGCUGGGUCAAAAACAAACACUGGGAAAGGAGGAAAAUGAUGUUUUUCUCUCUUUCA